UACGAGGGGGGCGAGCGUUGUUCGGAAUUAUUGGGCGUAAAGGGUGCGUAGGCGGUUUGGUAAGUCUGAUGUGAAAUCUAUGGGCUCAACUCAUAGUCUGCAUCGGAAACUGCCGGGCUUGAGUGUGGGAGAGGUGAGUGGAAUUCCUGGUGUAGCGGUGAAAUGCGUAGAUAUCAGGAGGAACACCUGUGGCGAAAGCGGCUCACUGGACAUAACUGACGCUGAUGCACGAAAGCUAGGGGAGCAAACAGG
rnacentral:rRNA from 1 species